rnacentral:lncRNA from 1 species
AAUCAUAUCCGCAUUCAUAUUUUUCUUCGGACGUGAAUAUAUGUCGAAUGCUAAAUUUUCGUUAUCACGUGAUUCGUUUAAAAGAGAUUCGUAUUCGAUUUGUAUUCAAAUAUUAUUCUGAUAAUAAUAUAUAUUAAAAUGCAUAUGUAAUAUGAAUCGAAAUUAAUGCUAUAUAUAUAUAUAAUAAGAUACAAAAUUACAAUAAAGGUUCACAUUCGUAUUUAAAUUUUAUACUAUCUUAUUUUUUAUUCAAUUUUAAUAUUUUAACAAAUACAAAUAUAUUUUUUAAUAUAAAAUUCAUAAUAAAAUAAAUAAGAAAUAAGAUAGAAAAUUACUUUAUCCCCUCUAAUAAUAUCUAUUAAUAACAUCCCCUUAUCUCCUAAA